AGCAUGAAGUCAAACAAGAGAACCCGCUGAAUUUAAGCAUAUAAGUAGGCGGAGGAAAAGGAACUAAAUAGGAUUCCCUUAGUAAUGGCGAAUGAACAGGGAUAAGCUCAGGCUGGAAACCAGAGCUCCGGUUCUGGGUUGUAGCUUGCAGACAAAGCGCUAUCGGCGGCUCGAGCGUAAGCCUCUUGGAACAGAGCGUGUGCCCAGGUGAGAAUCCUGUGUUUCGCUUGAUGUCCGCCGUAUACGGUGCUUGCUCUCAGAGUCACGCUCCUCGGAAUUGGAGCGUAAAUCAGGUGGUAGAUUUCAUCUAAAGCCAAAUACAGGCUCGAGACCGAUAGCGAACAAGUACCAUGAGGGAAAGAUGAAAAGGACUUUGGAAAGAGAGUUAAAAGUGCUUGAAAUCGCUGAAAGGGAAGCGAAUGGAACCACAUUCAUGGCUGAGAUUGCUGUAGGUGCUUGUGAAUGCUAGUCGCUCUGAUUGGGUGUGAGCAGGUACUUGCAGUGUUUCUUAGCUUGUGUGUCACUUGCCACAUAUGUGUGAGGAUGGCCUUUUGCACACGCUCUCUGCUUGCGGGUAGAGAUUUGUGUUUUUUGGGAUUCACUCGUAUAUGGCAUGCUGAUUCAGUGGUUCCUUUCGACCCGUCUUGAAACACGGACCAAGGAGUCUAGCACACACGCAAGUUCUUGGGUGGCAAACCUGUAUGCGCAAUGAAGGUGACUGCUGGGACUUUGCACCGGCAACCGACCGAUCAAUUGGGAGAAGUUUGAGUAUGAGCAUGUGUGUUAGGACCCGAAAGAUGGUGAACUAA
rnacentral:rRNA from 1 species